rnacentral:rRNA from 1 species
GAUGAACGCUAGCGGCAGGCCUAACACAUGCAAGUCGAGGGGCAGCACGAUUGAGCUUGCUUAAUUGGUGGCGACCGGCGCACGGGUGCGUAACGCGUAUGCAACCUACCUUAUACUGGGGUAUAGCCCGGGGAAAUUCGGAUUAAUCCCCCAUAGUAUUGUCGAUUCGCAUGUUUUGACAAUUAAAGGUUACGGUAUAAGAUGGGCAUGCGUCCCAUUAGCUAGAUGGUGAGGUAACGGCUCACCAUGGCGACGAUGGGUAGGGGGCCUGAGAGGGUGGUCCCCCACACUAGUACUGAGACACGGACCAGACUCCUACGGGAGGCAGCAGUGAGGAAUAUUGGUCAAUGGGCGCAAGCCUGAACCAGCCAUGCCGCGUGCAGGAAGACGGUCCUAUGGAUUGUAAACUGCUUUUAUUUGGGAAUAAACUCUGGUACGUGUACCAGCCUGAAGGUACCAAAUGAAUAAGCACCGGCUAACUCCGUGCCAGCCGCCGCCGUAACAC